rnacentral:rRNA from 1 species
UAGGGAAUCUUCGGCAAUGGACGAAAGUCUGACCGAGCAACGCCGCGUGAGUGAAGAAGGUUUUCGGAUCGUAAAACUCUGUUGUUAGAGAAGAACAAGGACGUUAGUAACUGAACGUCCCCUGACGGUAUCUAACCAGAAAGCCACGGCUAACUACGUGCCAGCAGCCGCGGUAAUACGUAGGUGGCAAGCGUUGUCCGGAUUUAUUGGGCGUAAAGCGAGCGCAGGCGGUUUCUUAAGUCUGAUGUGAAAGCCCCCGGCUCAACCGGGGAGGGUCAUUGGAAACUGGGAGACUUGAGUGCAGAAGAGAAGAGUGGAAUUCCAUGUGUAGCGGUGAAAUGCGUAGAUAUAUGGAGGAACACCAGUGGCGAAGGCGGCUCUCUGGUCUGUAACUGACGCUGAGGCGCGAAAGCGUGGGGAGCAAACAGG